UGCCCCCCGAGUGGGGUCGAACCACCAACCUUUCGGUGAACAGCCGAACGCCCCAGCCGAUUGUGCCACGGAGGC